rnacentral:lncRNA from 1 species
UCAAAAUUUCAUAUCUUCUAGGUAGACAUGAUACGUUGCUAGACGUCAAUCAUGUCUUGUGAGUUUGAUCAAAUUCAAGAGUUUAAUUCGAUCAUUAAUUAAAAGCUGUUCUAAUUGAUCAAAAUGGUUCAGCUUGAUUUGACCUAAAUCGGCUGGGUUGUGUUCUAACCAAAUUAGACUAAAUUACAUCUGGACUCACUGCUCGCUAGAUGUGAAAUCCAAUGGGUCACACACAAAGGGAAUUGAUCAUGAGUUUAAUUUGAUUAAACCAUGUUUGCAAGUUGAACAUGCUAGGACAUGUUGCAAACCCUAGCAUUUAGAUUCGAAUCGAAUUCGAAUUGGGUUUCGAUUUGGGAUAAUUUAGAACCAAUUUGAGCCAAAUUGGAUUUGGUCUUGAAGUGGGUUCGAAGUGUUUUAAUUGGGCUUGCUGUUGGGUGCCAAAAACUAGGAAACCACACGCCUAAGAAUCUCUCUCUUGGCGUGUGGAUUUGAAUCCAUGCGCAUGAGCCACAUGGCGCAUGGAUGGAGUUGGCACCACCUUUAGAUAAGGUCUUUCCUAUUUUUU